GCGUGAGUGAUGAAGGCCUUAGGGUUGUAAAACUCUUUCAGCGGGGAAGAUGAUGACGGUACCCGCAGAAGAAGCCCCGGCUAACUCCGUGCCAGCAGCCGCGGUAAUACGGAGGGGGCUAGCGUUGUUCGGAAUUACUGGGCGUAAAGCGCGCGUAGGCGGUUUGCCAAGUCAGGCGUGAAAUCCCCGGGCUCAACCUGGGAACUGCGCUUGAUACUGGCUGACUGGAAUCCGGUAGAGGGUAGUGGAAUUCCCAGUGUAGAGGUGAAAUUCGU
rnacentral:rRNA from 1 species